GCUGGGCGUGGUGGCAGGCGCCUGUAAUCCCAGCUACUCAGGAGGCUGAGGCAGGAGAAUCACUUGAGCCCGGGAGGCUGAGGGUGCAGUGAGCCAAGAUCGUGCCACUGCACUCCAAUCUGGGCAACAGAGCGAGACUCUGUCUCAA
rnacentral:SRP_RNA from 1 species